AAACCGCCGUAGUGCGGGUGUCCUUCGUGAGAAAAUCUGGAAGCGGACAUCCGCUUCCCGUAGCAGUUCAAACGUUUAAAGCGGGCCCAGUUGCAGCCCGGGCUGAAGAGACCAGAUACAAGACUGGCAAGAAUAAGUGGUUCUUCCAGAAGCUGCGAUUCUAAAGGUGUAACAAGUUGCAUCAAUAAAUGUUUAUUAAAAACCG